GCUCUUGUAGCUCAGUUGGUUAGAGCACCCGUUUAGUAAGCGGGAGGUCUUGAGUCAACUCUCAAUAAGGGCA
rfam:Ipomoea nil DNA, scaffold: scaffold2191, cultivar: Tokyo-kokei standard.